rnacentral:lncRNA from 1 species
GUCUUUUAGGAGGUAACUGAUGAAGAGGGAGCGCAGGAUGGGGUGGGGAAAGCACAUUCCAGGCAGGGAACAGCAUAUGCAAAGGCCCUGUGGCUGGAGGGAGAGCUUCGCGUUUGAGGGACAGGAGGGCAGCCCCGAAUGUGACGAGCGAGAGGGAGAGGAGGAUGGAGAUGUGGGCAGGGGUCAGUCUGGGCGGUGGCCAGCAGCCAUGAGAGUGUGAUGGGCUGUCUCUGGCAGGCAGUGGGGGAGCCAUGGAUGGUUGGACACAGGCGUGACCUGGUCAUCCUGGUGGAUGUUGAUGGUGAUGAGGAGAAGGAUGGGGUUGAGAAUCGUAGGAGGUACUGAGUUCUUACCGCGUGCCAAGCACCAUUUCACAGAUCGAAGUGAGGGCUGGGGAGGGGAAGUGACUUAUCCAGGUCACACCACUGGCAAAUGGCAGAAAUGGGACUCAGACCGCAUCUGUCUGGCCACACAGUCCGCACGCUCGUCCUGCAUGUCCUGUACACACUGUACACAGAGCUGCCCUUUGUCUGGAUGCGGAAGCCAAGGGACAUGCAGACGACCCUGUCACCUGCCUCCCUGUGGUGCUGACUCCUCUCUGCUCUGAGUUCCAGGCUGGGUGGGGACUGCAGGUCACAGGAUUGGCCGGAGCUGGAAAAGCCCAGCUCAGUUCCUGCUGAGGCCCAGCAGGGGAAGGAGAGGUUGCAACAUCGGCGGAGGCUGAGGUUCCGGAGAAGUUGGGCCCCCAGCCUGUUCACUGGGGCACAGGUCACACUGCAGACGCAGCCCCACUAGCUUGUUUGGGGCUCGAGGACUCCCACAACAUCCCCGGGAGGGGGGUGGCACCGGGACCCUCAUUUCCUCCUGUGGAAGCAGAACCAGGUGACUGCACUGCUGUAGACCCACCAGCGGCAUUGAAAAAACCCUCACCAGGCUGGGCGAGGUGGCUCAUGACUGUAACUCCAGCACUUUGGGAGGCCAAGGCAGGCAGAUCAAUUGAGGUCAGGAGUUCAAGACCAGCCUGGUCAACAAGGUGAAAUCCCAUCUCUACCCAAAAUACAAAAACUAGUCCGGUGUGGUGGUAUGCACCCGUAAUCCCACUACUCAGGAGGCUGAGGCAGGAGAAUCGCUUGAACCCGGGAGGCGGAGGUUGCAGUGAACCGAGAUUGCGCCACUGCACUGCAGCCUGGGCGACAGAGUAAGACUCUGUCUC